rnacentral:rRNA from 1 species
ACAGUCACACGAGUUUGAUCUGGCUCAGGAUGAACGCUAGCGGGAGGCUUAAUACAUGCAAGUCGAGGGGUAACAGGGGCUUCGGCCCGCUGACGACCGGCGCACGGGUGAGUAACGCGUACGCAACUUACCUCCAAGCGAGGGAUAGCCCUGGAAACUGGGAUUAAUACCUCAUGUGAUUAUGAUGCCGCAUGGUGUUAUAAUUAAAGUUCAGGCGCUUGGAGAUGGGCGUGCGUCCUAUUAGCUAGUUGGUGAGGUAACGGCUCACCAAGGCGACGAUAGGUAGGGGGCGUGAGAGCGUGGCCCCCCACACGGGUACUGAGACACGGACCCGACUCCUACGGGAGGCAGCAGUAAGGAAUAUUGGUCAAUGGAGGAAACUCUGAACCAGCCAUCCCGCGUGCAGGACGAAGGCCCUCUGGGUUGUAACUGCUUUUACCAGGAAGAACGAGUGGACUUGUCCGCUCCUGACGGUACCUGGGGAAUAAGCACCGGCUAACUCCGUG